UAGCAUUUAUGGUUGUGGCCAAAAAGCUCAAUUUUGGUUUCAUCACUCCAAAUGACUUUGUGCCAGAAGGUUUGAGGCUUGUCUCUGUGCUGAUUGCUAUAUUUUU